CCUACGGGUGGCUGCAGUGGGGAAUAUUGGACAAUGGGGGGAACCCUGACCCAGCCAUGCCGCGUGUGUGAAGAAGGCCCUCGGGUUGUAAAGCACUUUCAGUGAGGAAGAACGCCUGGUGGUUAAUACCCAUCAGGAAAGACAUCACUCACAGAAGAAGCACCGGCUAACUCCGUGCCAGCAGCCGCGGUAAUACGGAGGGUGCGAGCGUUAAUCGGAAUUACUGGGCGUAAAGCGCGCGUAGGUGGCUUGAUAAGCCGGGUGUGAAAGCCCCGGGCUCAACCUGGGAACGGCAUCCGGAACUGUCAAGCUAGAGUGCAGGAGAGGAAGGUAGAAUUCCCGGUGUAGCGGUGAAAUGCGUAGAGAUCGGGAGGAAUACCAGUGGCGAAGGCGGCCUUCUGGACUGACACUGACACUGAGGUGCGAAAGCGUGGGUAGCAAACAGGAUUAGAUACCCGGGUAGUC
rnacentral:rRNA from 1 species